rnacentral:rRNA from 1 species
AUUGAACGCUGGCGGCAGGCCUAAAACAUGCAAGUCGAACGAGUGGCGGACGGGUGAGUAAUGUCUGGGAACCUGCCCGAUGGAGGGGGAUAACUACUGGAAACGGUAGCUAAUACCGCAUACCAUCGGAUUUGCCCAGAUGGGAGUAGCUAGUAGGUGGGGGAACGGCCUACAUAGGCAACGAUCCCUAGCGGCUCUGAGAGGAUGACCCGCCAAACUGAAACUGAGACACGUUCCAGCUUCCUACGGGAGGCAGCAGUGGGAAAUAUUGAACAAUGGGCGCAAGCCUGAUGCAUCCAUGCCGCGUGUAUUAAGAAGGCCUUCGGGUUGUAAAGUACUUUCAGCGAGGAGGCGUUACUCGCAGAAGAAGCACCGGCUAACUCCGUGCCAGCCGCCGCGGUAAUAC